CCACAGUAACAACCAGCCGCCCCCUCCGCUCAGAGCCCGUACCCCGCUCAAGGCGCGCCGUCCCCGGGCAAACUUCACCCGGAGGCGCCCCCUGACCGAGACGCACCGCUGCUGCUGCGAAAACUGCGCAACAUCCACAGCCUGGAGCAGGAGAAACGGAGGAGUUUAGAGACCAAAGGCAGCCCAGAGAGAUUCACCGACGGAGGCCCCAGACCAGAGAGCGGCGCUGCCCAGAGGCCCGUCGUAGUGGACCGCGUGUGGCACUGUGAUGACGAGUUCAUCUCGCCCAAAGCGGCGUCUCCCGCCUCCAUGGAGCAGGGCGAGGGCAGCGGAGGCUUCGUGGCCCUCAACCUGAGCUCGGGGCGGGGCGACGUGGACUCCAGGGAGUGGGUGAUGGUGGACAGGCCCAGCCGAGGGCUUCUCCCGGGGGUAAACUCACCUCCAGCCCCUCAGAGGAAGACGAGGAGGAGCCCGAGGAGCUGCAGCCUGAAGAGAGGUCGCCGGGAUGGAGCAAGGAGGCCAGGCACAGCCCUAGUCCUGGGAAAGCCGUCCCGGAGAGCUCGGCCUCCUCCAGGGGCAGUGCCAAGGACAAACUGGAGCUGAACGUUGGAGCUGCAGCGCUGCCCGCAGUGACCCCCACCAGCCCAGGGGAGGCGCUGGCCGAGGGCAUACUCACUCAGCAGCCAGUCUCUCCCCCCUCUCUCCCGGAGGAGCUGGCCUCUCCUCAGCUCCUCACUUCUCUGUCGGACCCCCUGCUCUGUGCCCCUCCCCCAGGGCUCACCCGCAGCCUCUCCGCCCCCGGCACCGGCCCGAGCCGCUCGCCCCGAAAACUGCCUCCCGUCCCCCACGGAGCGGCCAAGUUCCCCUCCGUGAUUCGCAUCACGCGGGCGCAGCUCCAGCAGCUGACAGCAGGGUCGGACAGCGCCCCCCAGUGCCUCGUUUUGGAGAAACACGGCGACGCCGCUGAAUCUCCCGACCUCUCCUCGCCGCGGGACAAAAACGAGCCCACACCCGAGACCGCGGGGGGCAAGCUUCAGCGAAGAGCCCGGUCCACAGCCGCGUGUCCUCCCCGCGCUCGCCGCUCUCCCCCCUCGAUCCCCGCGGAGUCCCGUCUUCUCCAACGGACACCUCUCCCCCACGCUGGUUAAAGAUAUAAACGCUAACGGGGUGAUUCCGACGCCGAGAGACGCUCAGAAUGACGGCAAAGAGCUGAGAAAGGAUGGUUCGGCGACACCGGAGAAGGCUAAAAGUCCGCUUUCGUAUUCGCCCGUCGCUGUACGGAAAGACCCCAAUCGGAGGCACAGCCGUAUUCCCAUUUUAGAGCCUUCGAGUUUCUUCGACGCGGCUCCUCCGGGUUCAGCGAAGGAAAAACUGUUCCAAAAGAAAGCCACGCAUUUCAGCAACUGCAACAACAACAACGUCCCGUCCCCCACCGCCUCGCCCUCUCUCUCCGACCGCCGCGCUCAUCAGAUCGUGGCGUCGCUGGCGCCGCGGGACCCGCUCUCCUCCGGC
rnacentral:lncRNA from 1 species